UACGUAGGGGGCAAGCGUUGUCCGGAUUUAUUGGGCGUAAAGAGCGUGUAGGCGGUCAGGUAGGUCCGUUGUGAAAACUCGAGGCUCAACCUCGAGACGCCGAUGGAAACCAUCUGACUAGAGUCCUGAAGAGGAGAGUGGAAUUCCUGGUGUAGCGGUGAAAUGCGCAGAUAUCAGGAAGAACACCCGUGGCUAAGGCGGCUCUCUAGUACGGUACUGACGCUGAGACGCGAAAGCGUGGGGAGCGAACAGG
rnacentral:rRNA from 1 species